rnacentral:rRNA from 1 species
UGAGCUGGAAAUUUACCCCACAAAAAUCUCCCAUACACCACACAAACCAUUUGACAGACCAAGUAGAUGUGAUCGAACAGUAAACACGCACAACCAGUACCGCAAGGGAACACACUUUAAGCAACAAAUAGCAAAGAUUGACCCUUGUACCUUUCGCAUCAUGGUUUAGCAAGAAACCUAAGACAAGAAGAAUCGUAGUCUACACCCCGAAACCAGAUGAGCUACUUUAAAGCAGCUAAAUAGAGCACACCCUUCUCUGUAGCAAAAGAGUGGGAAGACUUAAAAGUAGAGGUGAAACGCCCAUCGAAUCUGGAGAUAGCUGGCUGUCCAAAAAAGAAUCUAAGUUCAACUUUAGACCAAAUAGUAAACUCUUACCCUCUAAAGGAAAUCAAUAGGGGUACAGCUCUAUUGAAACAGGAAACAACCUGAAUUUGAGAGGACAAAUCAACGAACUAACCAGUAGGACUUAAAGCAACCACCUAACAAAAUAUCGUUAAAGAAUUUAUAUAAAAAUAAUUCAACCUAAUUCAACCUCCAAACAAACUAAAGACGAACCCAUAACUUAUGGGUAACACAAUGCUAAAACUAAUAAUAAGACGACCUCUCUUCACACACUUAUCCGCUAGAAACGGAAAAACCACUAGUCAUUAACAGACCACAAUAGGCACACUCUACACCACUUCCCAAUCGCCAACCGACUGUAAAUCCAACACAGGUGUGUAAAAAAGAAGAUUAACUAUUAUAAAAGGAACUCGGCAACCAAAAACCCCAACUGUUUAACAAAAACAUAACCUUUAGCCAAACAAAUAUUAAAGGCAAUGCCUGCCCAGUGAACAAUUAAACGGCCGCGGUACCCUAACCGUGCAAAGGUAGCAUAAUCAUUUGUCUAUUAACUGUAGACCUGUAUGAAAGGCAAAAUGAGGGUUUAACUGUCUCUUAUGAUAAAUCUAUUAAACUGAUCUCCCAGUAAAAAAGCUGGGAUACUCCCAUAAGACCAGAAGACCCUGUGAAGCUUUAACUAAACUAUUAAACCAAAUAAUAACUACUUUAGGUUGGGGCGACCUUGGAAAAAAAAAGAACUUCCAACAUAACAAAUACCACCAAGGCCUACAAGCCAAUUAACGACCCAGUAACACUGAUAAUCGAACUAAGUUACUCCAGGGAUAACAGCGCCAUCUUCUUCAAGAGCCCAUAUCAAAAAGAAGGUUUACGACCUCGAUGUUGGAUCAGGACACCCCAAUGGUGCAACCGCUAUUAAAGGUUCGUUUGUUCAACGAUUAAUGUCCUACGUGAUCU